AAGACGCUUUUCUGCAUGGUGCAAGCCAAAUGGCUGAACCUGGAGGACACUGAUGCCAGGGGAAAGAAGCCAGUACCUGGAGGACUGUGCUUCCACUGGGGCUCGUUCCUCCCACGUAUGCCUCCUCAUUCAUGCUGGGAUGUGCUGUUGGCUGGGAUGUGGGGGGCUGGGGGUUGGCGGAUGGAUGACGCCGAGAUCAGCUAGCCUGUUCUCUCCUGGGGGCAUGGCCUUAAACUUGGCUUGCCUGUGCUCGGGGCUUCCUUGAUAGCUCAGUUGGUAAAGGAUCCGCCUGCAUUGCAGGAGACCCAAGUUGAUUCCUGCAUUGGGAAGAUCCCCUGGAGAAGGGAGAAAACUACCAUCUGGCCUCCAGAACUAGUCUACAAGUUACCAGUCCACUGGAAUGGCAGGGCCACGCGGGCAAGGGGAGCAGAGCGAGAGGGUGGCUUGAACACUCCUCAUCUCACCUAGGAUUUUGCAGCCCUGUAGCUUAGCUCAUGGUGGACACCUAGAUGUCUGCUGCUUCGUUGAAUUUCCCGCCAUCCAACCACCACCUACCAUGAGCACACUUGUCAUUCUCUGACGACCCAAGAUCAUGGCCCACGGGGAAAACCAGGGCAUGUCCAGAGUGGCUGUGACAGCCAAGAUAUCCCCUAGGAGGCUGGAUGACCCAGGGAGAGCUGAGUGGUCCCCAGCAAUGACAAUAGAGGACCCCGGGGAAGGACCCAGCGAACCCAUGAUGCACAUGGGAGCCAGGAGUUCGUCUUGGAGGCUGGAACUCUGGGUAAAUUACCUUGAGAGGAAGACUGAGGUCCAGGAGGUGGUGAUGGAGGCCUGGCUGUGCACCUUGACACCCCUUCCCCGUCUUGGCACACAUUUUCAGAAGGCGAUCACCUCUGCUUUAACUGUUUUCUUCGUUGGUUUUGAAACCAGACCUGGGGGCAAACAGAGAGAAUUUGUUCUGAAGAGAAAGGCGGCUGGAUGCUUUUGGCUGACAUGGAUCGGCAUGGGGAGCCUGAGAGGGAGAACGGUUGGAGAGAGGGGGCCUACCUGA
rnacentral:lncRNA from 1 species